rnacentral:rRNA from 1 species
UACGUAGGAGGCAAGCGUUGUCCGGAUUCAUUGGGCGUAAAGAGCGUGUAGGCGGCCAGGUAGGUCGGUUGUGAAAACUGGAGGCUCAACCUUCAGAGGUCGACCGAAACCAUCUGGCUAGAGUCCGGGAGAGGAGAGUGGAAUUCCUGGUGUAGCGGUGAAAUGCGCAGAUAUCAGGAAGAACACCCGUGGCGAAAGCGGCUCUCUGGAACGGUACUGACGCUGAGACGCGAAAGCGUGGGGAGCGAACAGG